rnacentral:rRNA from 1 species
AGUGAACGCUGGCGGUAGGCCUAACACAUGCAAGUCGAACGGCAGCACAGUAAGAGCUUGCUCUUACGGGUGGCGAGUGGCGGACGGGUGAGGAAUACAUCGGAAUCUACUUUUUCGUGGGGGAUAACGUAGGGAAACUUACGCUAAUACCGCAUACGACCUACGGGUGAAAGCAGGGGAUCUUCGGACCUUGCGCGAUUGAAUGAGCCGAUGUCGGAUUAGCUAGUUGGCGGGGUAAAGGCCCACCAAGGCGACGAUCCGUAGCUGGUCUGAGAGGAUGAUCAGACACACUGGAACUGAGACACGGUCCAGACUCCUACGGGAGGCAGCAGUGGGGAAUAUUGGACAAGGGGGGCAAGCCUGAUCCAGCCAUACCGCGUGGGUGAAGAAGGCCUUCGGGUUGUAAAGCCCUUUUGUUGGGAAGGAAAAGCAGCAGGUUAAUACCCCGCUGUUCUGACGGUACCCAAAGAAUAAGCACCGGCUAACUUCGUG